UGGGGAAUAUUGCACAAUGGGCGCAAGCCUGAUGCAGCCAUGCCGCGUGUGUGAAGAAGGCCUUCGGGUUGUAAAGCACUUUCAGCGAGGAGGAAGGUGGUGAGCUUAAUAUGCUCAUCAAUUGACGUUACUCGCAGAAGAAGCACCGGCUAACUCCGUGCCAGCAGCCGCGGUAAUACGGAGGGUGCAAGCGUUAAUCGGAAUUACUGGGCGUAAAGCGCACGCAGGCGGUUUGUUAAGUCAGAUGUGAAAUCCCCGGGCUCAACCUGGGAACUGCAUUUGAAACUGGCAAGCUAGAGUCUCGUAGAGGGGGGUAGAAUUCCAGGUGUAGCGGUGAAAUGCGUAGAGAUCUGGAGGAAUACCGGUGGCGAAGGCGGCCCCCCUGGACGAAGACUGACGCUCAGGUGCGAAAGCGUGGGGCAGCAAACAGGAUUAGAUACCCUGGUAGUCCACGCUGUAAACGAUGUCGAUUUGGAGGUUGUGCCCUUGAGGCGUGGCUUCCGGAGCUAACGCGUUAAAUCGACCGCCUGGGGAGUACGGCCGCAAGGUUAAAACUCAAAGGAAUUGACGGGGUCAUAGCUGUUUCCU
rnacentral:rRNA from 1 species